UCCAUACACUGUUUGAAAGACAGCACUGCUAGCUUCAGUCUCUAUAAAUAAUCCAGAGAUAUCUACACUCUACUCACACUUUACAAACUCUCAACUACACUCAACUGAAAUUAAUAUAUCAACUCUUUGCAUUCGGAUUUUGCGUUGUUUCUCGGCUCUCACAUCAAGGUUUUAAAAUUUUUGUCGGCUUUUCACAUCUCCCUCUUGCAUUGUUGUAAGUUCUUUCAAAUAUGACAUAGUGAAAGGAUAAAUUGUUUUUGUAGUUUUGAUUUUACUUUGUUCUGUUAUAUUUUGAUCUUUUCCUUCA